UUAGUUUAUUUAACUAGUUUUCAGAUUUGACAUGGUUGAAAGAAUUUAAUUGUGGGCUAUUGACGAGCACUGGCCAAAGGUUAAAAAACCUUCGGCGGUCCGGUUAAAGACGGUCCCGCUAAAGCAACAUGGUAUUUAUACAAAGGGUUGGAGAUCAGGCCUAGAAGACCCUAACUCAUUAAUGAUCCUUCCGCAGGUUCACCUAAAAAUACGUUAGCAUAGUUGCAAAAAAGGGGGGAUUUUGCGAUUUUACUCACCUACGGAAA
rnacentral:misc_RNA from 1 species